rnacentral:rRNA from 1 species
CCUACGGGAGGCAGCAGUGGGGAAUAUUGCACAAUGGGCGCAAGCCUGAUGCAGCCAUGCCGCGUGUAUGAAGAAGGCCUUCGGGUUGUAAAGUACUUUCAGUCGGGAGGAAGGUGGUAAGGUUAAUAACCUUAUCAAUUACGUUACCGCAGAAGAAGCACCGGCUAACUCCGUGCCAGCA